CUGAGAUAGGGCAUGAGGGGGGAGGGGGAGGAUGACAGCCGGUAUUUCUGAGAUGUUUGAUCCCAAAUGUGAAUGGAGUUGGUGAUGGCCGGGCAAGCUGUCCGCAGUAUGGGUCUGGAAUCCUUUGGUACCCAGAUAAAGUAUUGUGGGAGGUCGGUGCCCAUGAGGAGAGAUUCCAGUUCUACCCAUUUCCUCGUGUCUAUAG